rnacentral:tRNA from 1 species
GGCUCGUUGGUCUAGGGGUAUGAUUCUCAAGCUUAGGGUGCGGGAGGUCGGGUUCAAAUCCCGGACGAGCCC